rnacentral:lncRNA from 1 species
UUUUGCCAUUUUCUUAAAAAUCUACGUUUAAACCAAAUGACAUUAUCAACCUAUUUCUGAAUUAUCAAUAGAAAUGAAAUAGUAAGGUAUCAAACUAGUUAAAUUCCUAGUAUAGACGAGCGAAGAAAGAUUUCCAUUUUCAAGUGGGAUGCUGCCUUCAAGUCUCAUGUGAAAAAGAGAUUCCACUGCUCCAAUUAUUUUUCAAAAUAUUAGAGUCUGUUUUCCUUUUUCUUUUAUCGGGAAAAUAUAUUACGCAACUUUUUAAAAAAAUUAUUAUUAUUUCACCUCUUUUGAAGCUGGCAUGUUCGAUUUUUGGUGCUAUAUCUUGCAAUAAGUAAUCGGGUCUCUUAGGCUCAUGGAAUGACAAAUGAAUAAUUAAAUUUCUUAACUAUAAAAAAAUUAAUGGCAUCUUCUAUAUGGAAAAUUGCUUUCAAUUAUUUUUCUUGGAUGCAAUAAUUUUCAAAAAUCGAUUGAGAGGGAAAUAUAAUCAUCUCUUACACGACGGGCAAUAGACUUUGACUUAAGCAUAAGACUAAAUGUGUAUCACAUAUUUUUUCCAAUUUUCAUGGUUAGUUACGAUAUACCAAACUCUUUCACUAAAGUUUUGG